rnacentral:rRNA from 1 species
UACGUAGGCAGCAAGCGUUGUUCGGAAUCACUGGGCAUAAAGAGCACGUAGGCGGCUAAGUAAGUCGGAUGUGAAAUACCUCGGCUCAACCGAGGAACUGCGUCCGAUACUGCUUGGCUUGAGGUCCGGAGGGGAGAGUGGAAUUCCCGGUGGAGCGGUGAAAUGCGUAGAGAUCGGGAAGAACGCCGGCGGCGAAAGCGACUCUCUGGUCGGAAUCUGACGCUGAGGUGCGAAAGCUAGGGGAGCGAAUGGG